AUGGUGUUUCCAAUGUUGGUGGUUCUUUUGUUAGGCUUUCUGAGUCAGGAGUCAUUUGCCAAUAACUUUCUGACUCAGACUGAUAAAGCCAAGUCUGUCAGUCUUGGUGGGACCGUGACCAUCAGCGCCACAGGGAGUUCAAAUAUUGGUGCUGAUCUCAGUUGGUACCUUCAGAAACCUGGACAGCCUCCCAAACUACUUAUAUACACAGCAUCAACUCGCUCCUCAGGAACUCCGUCACGAUUCAGUGGCAGUAGAUCUGAUUCUCAGUACACUUUAACCAUCAGUGGUGUUCAGGCUGAAGAUGCUGGAGAUUAUUAUUGUCUGGGUGAUCAUGGUGCAGCAUUCACACAGUGA